rnacentral:rRNA from 1 species
UGGGGAAUUGUUCACAAUGGGCGCAAGCCUGAUGACGCAACGCCGCGUGGGGGAUGAAGGUCUUCGGAUCGUAAACCCCUGUCGAAUGGGACGAAAGACUCGCGAGUGAAUACUUCGCGAGAGUGACGGUACCGUUAAAGGAAGCCACGGCUAACUCUGUGCCAGCAGCCGCGGUAAUACAGAGGUGGCAAGCGUUGUUCGGAAUCAUUGGGCGUAAAGGGCGUGUAGGCGGUAUGUUAAGUCAUGUGUGAAAUCCCUCGGCUCAACCGGGGAACGACGCAUGAAACUGGCAAGCUAGAGUACCAAAGAGGGUGGUGGAAUUCCAGGUGUAGCGGUGAAAUGCGUAGAUAUCUGGAGGAAUACCGGUGGCGAAGGCGGCAUCCUGGACCAUUACUGACGCUGAGGCGCGAAAGCUAGGGGAGCAAACGGGAUUAGAUACCCCAGUAGUCCCUGAGCGGGCUGGCAAGGCGCAU